CGCCACGCGGCAGGAAGCCCGUCCGGAAGCGCGCGCGAGGCUCGCUCGGCCCGCGGCGCUUAUGGAGAGGCCGCCGCCGGUCUACGUGUACGGCGCCGAGUACGUGGCGCGAUGCGACGCCCUGAGCAAAGUCCCGCGGCGGGCCAGCAUGGUGCACGCGCUGGUGGAAGCCUACUCGCUGCUGCCGCACAUGAGGGUCGUCCAGCCGCGCCCCGCCUGUAUGGAGGAGAUGGCGGCCUUCCACACCGACGCCUACCUGCAGCACCUGCAGCAGGUCAGCGAGGAGGGCAACGAGGACCACCCGGACUCCGCGGAGUUCGGCCUCGGCUACGACUGCCCGGCCAGCAAGGGCGUCUUCGAGUACGCGGCGGCGGUCGGCGGCGGCACCCUGACGGCGGCGCGGUGCCUGGUGGAGCAGAAGGGCCGGGUAGCCAUCAACUGGGCCGGCGGCUGGCACCACGCCAAGAAGGACGAAGCUUCGGGCUUCUGCUACCUGAACGAUGCGGUGCUGGGGAUCCUACAGCUGCGCCGGAGAUUUGACCGGGUCCUCUACGUCGACCUCGACUUGCAUCACGGGGACGGUGUCGAGGACGCUUUCAGCUUCACCUCCAAAGUCAUGACGGUGUCCCUGCACAAGUUUGGCCCGGGAUUUUUCCCAGGAACGGGAGACGUGACUGAGGUGGGCUUGGGGAAGGGGCGCUACUACAGCGUCAACGUGCCCCUUCAGGAUGGCAUCAAGAACGAGACCUACUAUCAGCUCUGCGCGGCCGUGCUGAAGGAUGUGUAUGCUGCCUUCCACCCUGGAGCUGUAGUCCUGCAGUUGGGAGCAGAUACAAUUGCGGGGGACCCCAUGUGUGCAUUCAACCUGACCCCGGAGGGGAUCGGCAAGUGCCUGAAUUAUGUGCUGCAAUGGCAGCUGCCAACCCUUAUCCUGGGGGGAGACAGGAGGCUACCACCUUGCCAACACUGCCCGCUGCUGGACAUACCUGACUGGAGUCAUUCUGGGGAAGACGUUGCCCUCUGAAAUCCCCGAUCACGAGUUCUUCACAGAAUACGGCCCUGACUACGUGCUGGAAAUCACUCCCAGCUGCCGGCCAGACAGGAAUGAGCCUCAGCGGAUUCAGGAGAUCCUUGGCUGUGUGAAAGGACACCUGAAACAUGUGACUUAGUGGAAAAGAGGGCUCCCUUCUCUCCAGAGCCACUGCACCUGGGAGCAGCUGUCGAAGAAUCUGCAGAGAAACUGCAUUGAAAUGCCAGGGGGGCAUCGGAGUCCCUCAGGCUGCGGCCCGGGACUUGUUUAUGCCGCAUGGAGCAACAGGGAGUUAAAGGAAGCCCCCCCCCCCCCCCCCAACACACACAACCCAGCCAGAACUUUCAGCCUUGUCCCUUGCAGAGGAAGCUCAUUCUGGAAGGAGUGGAAGGCCCUGGCCUCUCAGACGGGCAGGAGCACAGCAAGAUGAGCCCCCCUCCCCUCUCUCUGGGGAUCCUUUUUAAACAGCUGUUU